rnacentral:rRNA from 1 species
AUGUUCAGACGGGAGAUGAUAAACCGGGCAAUGCACGCCGCGGUGAGGGGCGGCGACCUGGAGAUCCUCAGGGAGCUCCUGCAGGGUUGCUCCGAUGCCGCUGCGUACCAGGACGCCCAGGGCGCUGCCAUCUUGCAUGCUGCGGCUGCAAGGGGCCAAGUUGAGGUGAUUCUGCUUCUGCUUCUAAAUCUUGAUGAUAUCUGA